rnacentral:lncRNA from 1 species
ACUGCUGUCUCUCCCCGCAUCUGCCUAUCCGGUGAAGGAAGAGAGGCAGCUGCAGGAGCUGCUGUUCUGGAGGCAGACAGGAAGCUGACCUUGUAAACAGCAUGGAGAACAGCUUCUUUAUCCAUCCAAAUGGCAGAGGGCUUAGGACACUAGUGAGGAAUAAAGUCAACUUCACCAAGAUUGACCUGAUGAAUACCAUGUCUU